rnacentral:rRNA from 1 species
GUGUCAGCCGCCGCGGUAAUACGUAGGGGGCGAGCGUUAAUCGGAAUUACUGGGCGUAAAGCGUGCGCAGGCGGUUUUGCAAGACAGAUGUGAAAUCCCCGGGCUUAACCUGGGAAUGGCAUUGGAAACUGGCGGGCUUGAGUGCGGUAGAGGGGGAUGGAAUUCCGCGUGUAGCAGUGAAAUGCGUAGAUAUGCGGAGGAACACCGAUGGCGAAGGCAGAUCUCUGAGCCGUAACUGACGCUCAUGCACGAAAGCGUGGGGAGCAAACAGGAUUAGAUACCCCUGUAGUCC